CUUGUACACACCGCCGUCACACCAUGGGAGCGGGUUUCACCAGAAGUAGGUAGUCUAACCGCAAGGAGGGCGCUUACCACGGUGAGAUUCGUGACUGGGGUG
rnacentral:rRNA from 1 species